rnacentral:rRNA from 1 species
UCUGGUUGAUCCUGCCAGUAAUAUAUGCUUGUCUCAAAGAUUAAUCCAUGCAUGUCUAAGUAUAAAUAGUAUACCUUAAAACUGCAAAUGGCUCAUUAAAACAGUUAUAGUUUAUUUGAUAAUCAAACGCUACAUGGAUAACCGUGGUAAUUCUAGAGCUAAUACAUGCUGAUGACCCGGCGCAAGUCGUGGUUGUAUUUAUUAGAUAUUAAACCAAUAUGUUAAUAGCAUUUUGAAGGAAUUACAGUAACUGAUCGAAUCCUCAUUCGUUGAGGAUAAAUCAUUCAAGUUUCUGCCCUAUCAGCUUUCGAUGGUAGUGUAUUGGACUACCAUGGCGAUUACGGGUAACGGAGAAUUAGUGUUCGAUUCCGGAGAGGGAGCCUGAGAAACGGCUACCACAUCUAAGGAAGGCAGCAGGAGCGUAAAUUACCCAAUGUCGACUCGAUGAGCGUAGUGACAAUACAUAACAAAGAGGGGAUCUUGUAUCUUACUCUAUUGCAAUGAGGCAUGUUUAAUAACCUGUUCGAGCAACCAGUGAAGGGCAAGUCUGGUGCCAGCAGCCGCGGUAAUUCCAGCUUCACGAGUGUAUAUUUAAGUUGUUGCAGUUAAAAAGCUCGUAGUUGAACUUCUGUUCGUUCAGAAGGCGUGCAAGCGAAUUCUGGAUGAGCAUCCGCCUGAAAAAUCAUUCGGGUCUUCACUGAUUCAGUGAUGGAUCAGGCAUUUUACUUUGAAAAAAUUAGAGUGUUCAAAGCAGGCUAUCGCCUGAAUACAUUAGCAUGGAAUAAUAGAAUAGGACGCUGUUCAAUUUGUUGGUUAUUGAAUCGCGUAAUGAUUAAUAGGGACAGUUGGGGGCAUUUGUAUUUAAUUGUCAGAGGUGAAAUUCUUGGAUUUAUUAAAGACAAACUUAUGCGAAAGCAUUUGCCAAGGAUGUUUUCAUUAAUCAAGAACGAAAGUUAGAGGAUCAAAGACGAUCAGAUACCGUCCUAGUUUUAACUAUAAACUAUGCCGACUCGGUCUCCGUCGAGCUUUCCUAACUCGAUGGGUGCCGUAUGAGAAAUCAAAGUCUUUGGGUUCCGGGGGGAGUAUGGUCGCAAGGUUGAAACUUAAAGGAAUAGACGGAACAUCACUACCAGGUGUGGAUCCUGCGGCUUAAUUUGACCCAACACGGGGAAACUUACCAGCGCAAAACAAGGGUGGGAUUGACAGAUUGAGAGCUCUUUCUUGAUUCUUUGGAUAGUGGUGCAUGGCCGUUCUUAGUUGGUGGAGUGAUUUGUCUGCUUAAUUGCGUUAACGAACGAGACCUCAACCUACUUACUAGACGCAUUAUGU